rnacentral:misc_RNA from 1 species
GUUGACAAAAGUCUGCCCUUGUCAGUCUUGUCCCUUCGGUGACCCAGUCUUUCAAUCAAAACUUUCCCUCGAACAUCCUUUCAUCCUUCCUAUUUCUUCUUGUUACAUCGCGGAUCUCGAACGUAGAGAAAUGAAACACCUUUGAGGAACCGUGUCUUUCGAAACUGACCUCGACUUGUGAUACACUCCGUGCACGAGUUUCACUCAUCUUUUCCAGGAGCUCGCUUUUCAUCCUUCCUCUCGAUUUAGAGAUUAAGAUGGACGUUUUUAAAAACGGAUGCUUGUAGACCCGAAGAUUGUUUUUAGGGUGUGUGUUACCGUAGUGCUGUGUUUCUUUUUUGCACACCCUAUAAAAUUUUGAGAUCACCGUGGACGAAACAAUGACGGACAAAAUAUUUCAGAAAUGAGGAUUUGAAAGUUUGAAAAUUAAAUUUUCACUUUACU